AUGAUGCAGGAGCUUGGGGCACCAUGUCCACAAUUCUUUGAAGAGAUGCCAGAUGAUGGAACACACUCCUACGGACGCGUAGUUGUGGUACUCAACGGUGUUCCAUCAGACAUGGACUUCUACGCGGAGCUCUCCACAAUGCAGCGGUCCUUCGAUGACACCCUACCAAUGCAAGAGGUUGCCAAGGAAGCUGUGCAUGGACUGCGAGCACGCUUUGGUGAGAAUUGCGCACCACCGGAUACCGUGACUUGCCAGCACUUGAUUCUGGAAGUUUUGGGCAAAACCAUCAGCAAGGACUAG
rnacentral:rRNA from 1 species